GACGAACGCUGGCGGCGUGCUUAACACAUGCAAGUCGAACGAUGAACCACCUUCGGGUGGGGAUUAGUGGCGAACGGGUGAGUAACACGUGGGCAAUCUGCCCUGCACUCUGGGACAAGC
rnacentral:rRNA from 1 species